GCACGUGUGAUGUGAAAAGCAGGAUGAGAAACUGUGAUGCUGUAAACGCUUUCUGAUGUG
ensembl:snoRNA